rnacentral:rRNA from 1 species
AACGAACGCUGGCGGCAUGCCUAACACAUGCAAGUCGAACGAGAUCUUCGGGUCUAGUGGCGCACGGGUGCGUAACGCGUGGGAAUCUGCCCUUUGGUUCGGAAUAACAGUUGGAAACGACUGCUAAUACCGGAUGAUGACGAAAGUCCAAAGAUUUAUCGCCAGAGGAUGAGCCCGCGUGGGAUCAGCUAGUUGGUGUGGUAAAGGCGCACCAAGGCGACGAUCCUUAGCUGGUCUGAGAGGAUGAUCAGCCACACUGGGACUGAGACACGGCCCAGACUCCUACGGGAGGCAGCAGUGGGGAAUAUUGGACAGUGGGCGAAAGCCUGAUCCAGCAAUGCCGCGUGAGUGAUGAAGGCCUUAGGGUUGUAAAGCUCUUUUACCCGGGAUGAUAAUGGCAGUACCGGGAGAAUAAGCUCCGGCUAACUCCGUGCCAGCCGCCGCAGUAA